UUCUCUUCUUGGAGGGUGUUUCCUGGUUUGCCAUGCUUCCCGGCCCUCACACUGUCUUUUCUGCCCCAGCCACCCUCGUAGGGACUCCGUAGAGUGAGAGUGGGGAAGGUGCACACAGGCUCAACUCGGACUAAAUGUCACUGGCUUGGUGGCAUCUCCUCACUUAACCCAUCAGCGGGAGGUCUGAGCUCACUCCUAGGAGCUCUGGACCUUUCAGAGGAAGCCCCAGGAUUUCAGAGGUUGGAAGAGAACUCCUGUCUCGUCCAGGUGCCCCCCACUCAUUGCUCAUCCCCUGCUAUCUUCCCUGGACGUAGGAGGAAUCACCUGGAAGACGUCUGGAUGAGAUGCCCGGGCCCCAACCUCUAGAUGGGGCUGGGGAAGUCUGGAGUUGGCCAGGCCUCCCAAAGGUCAAGAAUACAGAUGAGGACCCCAGGAUCAGAAGAGCAGUGACUCACCCCCGCCUCAGCCACUGCAGGACAAGAAGAAGGUCCCCAUCCCUACAGCAGCCUUUACCCAUUGCCUUCUGGUGGCUCACCACAGACGGAGACUGGGAGAAAGGGGCUCUGACUCUGUAUCCCCAGAGCCGGGCCUGGCCUGGUCACGGGAAAGGAGCUCAGGACUCGUUGGGACAGUCUAUGGAGGGGUGAGUUCAUGACUUUGUUCCUUACAUUUGUGGGGAUAUUUGCCAUUUUUUAAGGGCAAUGCUUAACCCAAAG
rnacentral:lncRNA from 12 species